rnacentral:rRNA from 1 species
UACAGAGGUCCCAAGCGUUGUUCGGAUUCACUGGGCGUAAAGGGUGCGUAGGCGGUCGGGUAAGUCUGAUGUGAAAUCUCACAGCUUAACUGUGAAACUGCAUUGGAUACUAUUCGGCUUGAGAGUUGGAGGGGGGACUGGAAUUCUUGGUGUAGCAGUGAAAUGCGUAGAUAUCGGGAGGAACACCUGUGGCGAAAGCGGCUCACUGGACCGCAACUGACGCUGAGGCGCGAAAGCUAGGGGAGCAAACAGG